AUCUCGUGAUGAGGGCAUUUUCUUAACAACUCUUUAAAUCUUUCCCAUGCUUCAUACAAUGACUCUAUCUCCAUCUGACAAAAAUUAUUAAUCUCCCUCCCAACCGU